AGAUAUUGUAUGCCCGAGAGAUUGACCAGAGGAGCUCCACCUUUCAGAAGUCACUUCUAAUGGGUAAAGCUUUCCAGAGGAGAACAAAGGCGUUAAUUCUAAGAUCAGCCAUGCUGAAGAAUAACAUUCAAGUUAAGCUACAGGACAAUUCUAGUGCAUCGGAGGGAGUCGCUGUAGGAAGUGGAAUAGCCCAGUCAACGCGAUGAUGGUAACUCGCACUGCCCUUCUUGUAAAUACCAUUCAACUAUUAUUCACUGAUGUCUCAAGGGAGGAGUGAGGAAAACUGGAAUAGCCUGUAUUGAUGCUAAAUGGCAUUGAUGAUAAAUGUAGCCAUAUUUAUCACGAUUUCAUGUGAUGUACUGUAUCUCCAUGUCAAUAGAGAUCAGUCUAUUCUUCACAUCAACUCCUGAUUUAUUACACAUUAUUUUCUUUAUGUUUUUGUUAAUGUAAUCUAAGAUCUGAUCAUCUACGUUGUUAUAGAUUUAACUCAGACAUUUAUAUUUAUUAAAAUUUUAUAUUAAAAUUGGUGUCAUAACAAAAAUGUAUCGAGUGAAUCUCUCAUAUUGUGAAUCAUUCGAUCCAAAACUUAUGGCACAGUGUACGAAAUAGCACAUUUUUUCCCCCAUUUUGUAGUCACUUGCACAUGGGGUGUUAUAACAGAUACAAAAUAGUGAAGAAACAUUUAACCUGCUAUAUUAAAGCUAUAAGCCCAAUCAGCAGAUGAACCUUUUGGGGUAAGUUUGUUUUUGCCAUUUACUAGUUGUCAUGGAGCCCUUCUGUAAAUGGCUACUUGAAAAUAAAAAUAAGCACUCAUUGGUCAAUUUAAAGUAGUAUUGUGAUAUUUUUCACAAUAACAGUUAUGUACUCUAAGUUGACCCACCAUUUAUAGUUUGAAUCAAGGUCAAAGAAAAUAUUCUGAAGAGGUUUAAUGCAUAAUGGUCAUGCUUCUCUUGAAGCUGCUGUGUGUUGAACAACUUCCUGUUAGCACAUCCCAAGGGAGAGGUACAUGUAAGGCAUAUUGAUCUGUACACUAUAAUACUUUUGGAAAAUUUGACAUUUUUGUUGUAUAUUUUAUAUUUCUGCAUCCUAUUGUAAAAUUUUAUGAACUUACUCCAGGAAAUUUGUAUUGAUUUCAGGUCCAGUUACAAUAAAGGCAAUUAAGAUCAUUCCCCAUGGUUUGUGAGAGGAGGGGGGGGGGGUGCUGAGUGAUUACUGAGAGGGUAGUGAUGAGGGGGAGCUGUUUCAUGUAGUCCAAGGUUUACUCUAAUUGCACUUGACUUUGGAAGCCCUUUAUGUCACUGGUUCCUUUUCAGUAUUUAAUAAUAAUUAUAAUAACGGUAUAUUUACCCAGGGUAGCCACUUCAGUUCUGAAAACUGUUCACCCAGGGGGCCCUGCUAUUAUUAUUACCCGGCUAAGCUAGGAUACCGAUUCAGGUGCGCACAGUUUUUUGAGGAAUUACUUCCUGCCGGUACCCAUUUACCUCACCUGGGUUGAGUGCAGCACAGUGUGGAUAAAUUUCUUGCUGAAGGAAAACACGCCACGGCUAGGAUUCGAACCCACAACCCUCUGUUUGAAAGGUGAGAGUCAGAACCACUAGACCACAGUUCAUGGUUUAUAAAGCUUUUCGCAAAGUUUCCUGUUGCUUUACAACAAUUGCAUAUUGUAUGUCCCUAAAUUUGAGACUUAAGUUGCUUGUGCCUGUGCAUCAGUUUUUGCUGUAAAAAUUGCUGAACAACAAGGCUUCUUCUCUACUUUGCAAGAUUCAUCUUUAGACAAUGUUAAUGAAAUGCCACCAGGAAGCUCAUUUUUGGCAUGCCAUAUUCCAGUCACAGAACAAACUGCUAAUGGAAUACAUUGUACCUCCCUAAUGAUGGAAUUACAUACAUGUAUCAUGCUCUUAAGCAAUUAAUACAUUAUGCAUGUACAUAAAAUGUGCAUUUUUAUAUAACAUGUUGAUAAAGUAAAGCAUAUUUUGGUAUAUCCUGCAAGAGAUAAUCGUGGCAACUUUUCACAUGAGUGACAUGAUGGGCCUGCCAUACUAAAUGGAAUUUUUACCCCUACCAUUUCCAAACUUCUUGCAUCUGCUUGAUGCCUCAUUUUGCAGCUCAUGCAAGUUACCAAUUCAUGCUGUAUGCCAGCGCAAUGAUGCCUGUCAAAAGAAUGGCAGUAUAUAAAUGUGACCACUUCACAUAGGUAUAUGAAUCAAAUUUGAUUGUCUAUAAAAAAAUUAAUCAGGAAAUUUUUGCAGAAAUGUCCAUAGAAUAUAAUCAAUACCUGCCUAGGUUUAAAACAGCACCUAUUGUGUAUUAUUUUGGUGCAUGAAGAUCAUGUAAGGAAACAGUUCACCGUACUGUUGGUCAUUACAUUCACCUGCACACAUUUCUCUACAAGGCAACCAUGGACAGGAAAGUUGUUGUUCAUUUCAUGCUGUGUUGCAUCAUUACAUAACUCCUGAGUUGAAUAGGCCAUAUUGAGGCAUCAAGCAUACCAUGCCCUCUGUUAGCAAGUUUAAUAUUUUAUUUUAAGUAACAGGUUUAGUGCACUAUUAAUUAUCUCUGUUCAAGCUUGAGAAUCUUAAAUGGGCUUUGGUACAAUAUGAAUUUGAAUACUUGAUCCUUUGAAACACUAAGGGACUGUCUCCGAAAACUGGCUAUUACGUGACUCUUGGCUUUGCAAAUGACCACAAUAUUACCAGCCAAGUUAAUCCCACAAAUAAAUCACAUUUAGUGUAUAGCUGAAUUUGAUUCAGUAAUAAUAUGAGCAAUGAUAUGAGUUAUAAAGCAAAAAAACAAAAACAAAAACAUAAACUGUGUUCUAAAAGAAAUUGAUCAAACUUUACAAGGGCACUGUACAAAUUCCACUCAGACAAAAUGAACAAUAUUUUUACUAAGACAGCUUCACUAAGCACGUUUCAAUGAUUAAGAGAUCAGUUCAAUCACAGAAAGGCUAUAGCCCCUCACAUCGAUUGGAUUCAGAAUCCAUCCUUAAACUGAAAGAUCACUGCUUUUCGUCUUCUAGAGAAAGUAAAAGGUAAUGCUAGAAUUAUAUAGUGACUUGCUCUUUUACUCUGUUGAUGAAUUACAUGUUCUUAUGUAAGUAUAUGUUAUGUCAAUAUAUGAGUGAUGCAUUCAAUGUUGACAAGUACCAAGAUCAUUGUAGAUCUUGUAAAACAUGUUAAUAUUAAAAUCUGAAGAUAAAUGUGA